UUGUCAGUGGGCAAACGUACAAAAUCAGCAGGGGAUCAAAUACUUUUUUCCCUCACUGUAUAUAUUUAUUUUAUUGUUUCCCUUCUACGUGACUUUACCGAAAGAACCAAGAAUUAUUAUUUUAACUCAAGUGUUGUAUUGAGUUCGGCAUCAACAACAACAAGAACAACGACGUCAUUCUCAAUCCUGGUUCUCAUCGUCAUCAAGCAUCGUCACGACUGGGAUUUCAAUGGGCAAGAACCGUUAUACGCAUCAGCAUCACCAUCAUCAUCAUGAUCAUCAGCCUCCAUCAUAAUCACCUUCACUGCCAUCAUCAUCCAUCAGUCAUCACCAUCAUCAUCCUGCAUCAUAAUCACCUUCACUGUCAUCCAUCAAUCAGCACCAUCAUCCUCAUCGUGAUCAUCAUAAUCACCUUCACUGUCGUCAUCAUCCAUCAAUCAUCAUCCUCAUCGUGAUCAUCAUCAGCCUCCAUCAUCACCAUCACCGGUAGUAGUGGACAAGCUGUUUGGUGACGCUGCUGCUGCUGCCGCGUUGUUGGCAGCGGCGGCUAUGCUCCAGCACAACAACAACAACACGCGUCCCCCCGUCAAUAACUACAAAACACUGCCCGACGUUUCGGGCAGCGGCCCUUGCUCAUUUGCCCUGAAAACGUCGCCCGUGAGUUUUUGUUUUUGUUUCCCCCCGGUUCGUCUUCUCGCCAUCUCGAGGCUCGCCAAAGUGCGUUGGCGACCGCGAGUUGCCAAGCCACAGGGGGAGAGCGAGAUAAAUGGAGACGGCGAGGAACGGCGAUAUUUUUUUAUUUUUUUUUAAUUCUCGAGUAGCUGGACUCGGGGACUAAUGAAGCGCUGAAUCGGAUUCGGCGCUGGAAACCCGGACCCGGAACCCGGACUGGAACCCGGACCCGGAACCCGGACUGGAACCCAGGAACUCGUGCGCUGCCGGCCUCGGAGCCUCUGACCACCGAGCCCACCUCUGCCUCCCCGGCCACGUCUCGAGCCGGGGGGGUGGGGGGGGGGACGUGGAUCGCUCUCCGUCACGACAUCCCCUUGCUGUAUCGUGGCCGGUGUGUGGGGGCGCCUGUGGUAGUCAACAUCUCCUAGGACACCCAGUUUAUUGCCCUCUCACAAACUGGUAGGUAUUUUAUCCCCCCCCCCCCUCCCAAGCGACGAUGAUGAUGAUGACAAUAAAUGCUGACCGCGUGGGUGACCUCUGAGCGUGAUUUGAGCUUGGCGGCAUUCUAGUAGCGGUGAGUCCGCACGCGAUUCGGCGUGUAGGUAACAGAGGUUUGCAGUGGGGUUGGUGGAUCGUGCAAGGAUUGCAGUGAGCCGCGAGUCUCUGGCGAAGGUUGAUUCCCAGUCGAGGUGCAAUGUACCGAGUGAUUUAUUUUAUUUUUUUCAUGCCAUAGAUCGAUGUUCGUCGUGAUUUGAACUUUGACCAAACAGGCGGCUCAUGUUCUCUCUCUCUCUAUUAAAGCCUUCUAUUGAUUUUGAAUUCCUCUUGUGCAUUGACUAAUAAAUUAUCGUUAUUCCUUU